rnacentral:rRNA from 1 species
CAGCCGCCGCGGUAAUACGUAGGUGGCAAGCGUUGUCCGGAAUUAUUGGGCGUAAAGGGCUCGCAGGCGGUUUCUUAAGUCUGAUGUGAAAGCCCCCGGCUCAACCGGGGAGGGUCAUUGGAAACUGGGAAACUUGAGUGCAGAAGAGGAGAGUGGAAUUCCACGUGUAGCGGUGAAAUGCGUAGAGAUGUGGAGGAACACCAGUGGCGAAGGCGACUCUCUGGUCUGUAACUGACGCUGAGGAGCGAAAGCGUGGGGAGCGAACAGGAUUAGAUACCCCCGUAGUCCCUGUCUCUUAUCA